rnacentral:rRNA from 1 species
AUCUACGGUAGCAGGAUGAGAAGGGUAGACCUCCCACCCUUGUGUAUUAUUACUUUGUUGCUUUGGCGAGCUGCCUUCGGGCCUUGUAUGCUCGCCAGAGAAUACCAAAACUCUUUUUAUUAAUGUCGUCUGAGUACUAUAUAAUAGUUAAAACUUUCAACAACGGAUCUCUUGGUUCUGGCAUCGAUGAAGAACGCAGCGAAAUGCGAUAAGUAAUGUGAAUUGCAGAAUUCAGUGAAUCAUCGAAUCUUUGAACGCACAUUGCGCCCCUUGGUAUUCCGGGGGGCAUGCCUGUUCGAGCGUCAUUUCAACCCUCAAGCUUAGCUUGGUAUUGAGUCUAUGUCAGUAAUGGCAGGCUCUAAAAUCAGUGGCGGCGCCGCUGGGUCCUGAACGUAGUAAUAUCUCUCGUUACAGGUUCUCGGUGUGCUUCUGCCAAAACCCAAAUUUUUCUAUGGUUGACCUCGGAUCAGGUAGGGAUACCCGCUGAACUUAAGCAUAUCAAU